GAUGAAGAACGUAGCGAAAUGCGAUAAGUAGUGUGAAUUGCAGAAUUCAGUGAAUCAUCGAAUCUUUGAACGCACAUUGCGCCUUCUAGUAUUCUGGGAGGCAUGCCUGUUUGAGCGUCAUUAAACCUCUCUCAAGUAUGAUUACUUGGAUGUGAAGGAAGAGUACCUUAAACUUAAGGAGUGUUCUCCUUUGAAAUUGAUUAGCAGAUGGUAAUGUUGUUAAAUCCCUGAUGUUGUAAGAAAUAACAGUGGUUUUGUAGACUAUUAUCUAGCUUUAAAUUAUAAUUUUUAUUAUGGUUGACCUCAAAUCAGGUAAGGAUACCCGCUGAACUUAAGCAUAUCAAUAAGCGGAGGA
rnacentral:misc_RNA from 1 species